rnacentral:rRNA from 1 species
AUUCCGGUUGAUCCUGCCGGAGGACAUUGCUAUUGGGAUUCGAUUUAGCCAUGCUAGUCGAACGAGUUUAGACUCGUGGCGAAUAGCUCAGUAACACGUGGCCAAGCUCCCCUUCAGUCAGCGAUACCCUCGGGAAACUGAGGUUAACAGCUGAUACAAAACGCCAGCUGGAAUGCGGCGUUUCAGAAAGACAUCGCUGAAGGAUGCGGCUGCGGCCGAUUAGGUAGACGGUGGGGUAACGGCCCACCGUGCCAGUAAUCGGUACGGGUGAUGAGAGUCAGAGCCCGGAGACGGAAUCUGAGACAAGAUUCCGGGCCCUACGGGGCGCAGCAGGCGCGAAACCUUUACACUGCACGGAAGUGCGAUAGGGGAAUCCCAAGUGCGAGGGCAUAUUAGCCCUCGCUUUUCUCGACUGUAAGGUGGUCGACGAAUAAGAGCUGGGCAAGACCGGUGCCAGCCGCCGCGGUAAUACCGGCAGCUCAAGUGAUGUCCCAUAUUAUUGGGCCUAAAGCGUCCGUAGCU